AACUACAAAAAAAUAACAACACUACUUGAUUGUUACACCGUUAAUCGCCAUUCCCUUAAUACAUUAUUAUUGAUCUUAUGGUUGUCAAAUUAAUGGCCUUUACCCAGCUUUAAUUGAUUACAAUAACCACGUUCCCAUCGUCGAUCGGAUUACCAAGGGCUAAUCACAGGAAAACACAGCCAAAUGAAAAUGACUUACAACGCAAUAAAUCAAUUCCCGCGUUUACCCAGCCAUUUUGUUUUACAUUUGAACCUCUUAGUAAGCUUGUCCUUACCAACUUCAAACCAACCACGUUGAUUCUUGCUUUUGCAGUAAGCAAAUUUUGGAGGGAUGAUGUAAAACUUCUGGCAUUGUUAAUUGUACCGAAAUAUGAUCACAAUUCCAGUGAAUCAAAUAUCAGCGUAAAUAUCAAUUUUAAUCAACUCACCUAAGGUUUGUAUGGCAAUAGAAUUUCUCCAAAUGCUUUAUGUCACAAGUGGAGUAAGAUACUUCAACAACAAUAACCACAACAACACAGAAAAGGGUUAAUUCCCUUCACCCGUUAGGAACGGUAACCUUUACAUGAACCGUAUUUCAGCUUAUGGGUAGGAAUUUCUCGCAAUUUCACAAUUUCUCGAUCAAUUUUAUAAAGAAAACAAGAUCAAAAUCUACCUCAGUGGCCUGGCAGAUUAAUCCGGGAAUUUACCUUGAUCUUGACCCAUUUUCAUAUUUUUGCUCUGACAAUUAGUAUAUCUUUGUUUCAAUCAUUGGAAUGAAUUUUCGCAAUGAAAAAAUUAUUCAGGAUGAGAAUUCAUUAACAUAAACUUCGUUUUAUUUUCCUGCAAUCAUCAGAUGAUGGAUUAUUCAUCCACUCCUAACCCAAUGUUUAAACUUGAACUCACAUCAGUUACGGGUAGCCACAAAGACGGUAUCGACGGUAUGGCCAAUGGCUAUUGACGAAAUAUUACUGCUUAAUGUGAGGGUUAAACUGAAAGGUUAAAACAGUUAAAGAUGAUUCAGAAAAUUUUACCUUGAUUCAACCAUCUUAUCUGAGAUUUGUGUUAUUGGACUGAUAAAUCUCAUUGUCUAACUAGAUUAGUUAACUAAAAGCUUUGUUAGCCAAAAACUACAUCAAAUAUAAUCAACUUUUUAGUCCAACAACUCUAUAAUCUUUAUAUUAAAUCAUAAAACUCAUUCCAUAUUAUUUGAAGGAACAAAUCGUACGAAAUCAGACAAACAGAACAAAAUAUAAAUCAAAUAAUUCGACUUUGCCCAGUUAAAUUGUGAGUUUAGAAACAAUGAAAGUAUUGUUAACAACCAUAAUUCACAUGAAAGGAGAAAGUUCAUAAUUUUCAACUCAUUUACCUUAUUAAUGUAUCUUUCCCAGAAUCAUUGAUUGCGCCAUUAAGACAAAUCUAAAUUGUAUUGCAUUUACAAUUUUCAUAAUUUUAAUACAACAAAUAAUUAAUCGAUUCAGUUUUUAAAUUUUGAUGAAAGUUACGCUUUAAAUUCAAUUGAUAAAUGCAUGAUAGAUUCAACGAUAGUAAAAGUUUCCCCAAAUUAUUAGCUAGUGCUUAACUCUUUAACUACUGCGAAAAUUUCCAUUUUUUCAAAAUAAUUCAUGAAUUGUGAACUAAUUGUUACUGAGUAGAAUGCAAUUAACCAGUUACAGAGAAAAAAAUGAAAUAUCAAAAUGAUCAGUUUGAUUAAUGUUUAAUUAUCAAAUUAUCAUGAGAAUAGAAAGCGAAAGAUUAAAAGAGGGAAAUAUUAUUAAAAGAAUCAAGGAUUCUAUUUUGAUGAUUCCAGUAAAUUGGAUCAACUUUAGCCGUAAAUUGUUGAAUUUCACAAUCCAAUGAAAAUAACAAAUUCCAUAUGAUUAAGUCUGAUUAUGAUUUUGAAUAAAUGAAAGGAAUUGAUUCUAAUGCAUAUUUUUCAUUCAAUUUUAGGGCAACUUGGAUGGACACAAGAAGCAGUGAAAGCAAAUGGAAAUGAAGUAAACCAAAUAAUACAAGAAAUGGAUACGAUGAAGAACAAUUAAGCUAAUUGGAUUGAGGUUUCAUUGAAUCUUGGUGAUUUGUCGAUUCUUAAUCAUUUUGGAAGCUGGGAUUUUCCAAUGAAUCUGUUUGUUUCAAUACUAUCAGAUGAAGUGAUUGAACCUGAUUGAUAAUAAUGUAAAAAAUUGAGCAAUUUUACAAAAGUAAGACAAUCGGAUAAAAUGUUGAACAGGUUAAAGGUAAACCUUUUACUGAUUUGUAUUGUUAACAUUGCCUUUUAAAUGCUUUGUUUAAUGAUGUAAUGGUAACAAAUUGUGAUAAGAUUUGGAAUGGAAAAUGAAAUUAUAACUUUGACUGAAUUCAAAGUAGACUGAUAAUUGUUCAAUGAUUGUUAGAAAUUAUUUUAAAACAAAAGCAAACUGAUUGUGACUUUCAUUGAGAAAAGGUUGGAAUACAUUUUGACCAAAGAUAAAGAAGCUUACAUUACUAUUUAUGGUAAAUUGGAUUUCAAUUUUGCUAAAAUGAAUCAGAGGGAAAAAAUUUCCAUUAUCAUAAUCAUGAUUAUGGUUUAUCACCAUAAGAAAUAAUAUAACUUUUAAAUGUUAAAUACGCAAUUCACUUUUGACUGGAACAGGGAAAAAAUAAUCAACUGAUCAAGAUGAAAAUUUAUCUGGUUAACUUACAAUUUUAAUAAGCCUCGAUAAAUAAUGAUCAAGGCUGCUUGUUGAAUCAAGCAACAGUUUACCAGAAAAACCUAGCAUUUCCAUUGAACCCAAUUCUAGUUUUACCUUUUGUUACCUUAAAUCACCGUUAAUUUGAUUAAUAAUGGUUACCCAACGGUGAGAACAAAAAGAUUGACAAAAAGAUAUGUUUAAUAAACAAUUAGUUGAUUGUUGGUAAAGAAGUCUGACUUAUCAACAUUUUCAACUCUCUUAGACAAAUGUAUGACAAUCGACUAAUUAUUUUAGUUGAUUCGGACAAUUUGUUUCAUAUUAAUCUACUAAUUGUUAAUCAUAAUCAAUUUACAAGGUGAAUUGAUUGUAAACUAGAUUGAAAUUGAAGAAGCCAUUUGUUUUUCAAACCAAUUUUAAUCAUAUGGUUUUCACUCUCUCUUUAUAUUUGUGUUUCUGCUCACAACAUUUAUAGUUAUUAUCACGUUAAUAAUCAAAUUAGUAAUCUAUUUUUAGACGAUCAUCAAUGCAACAAUCAAAGGAGAGCCUAAUUUAGUUGCAAUUUAAUUAAAUCCUCAAUUAAUUCAGAUAAUUGUCUUUUCCUGUCAAUACAAUGUUCAAGUUACCAUAGACUUGGUUAUAAGGUUUGCGAUUAUUUGUUUGCCCUCUUAACUGAACAUUAUUUUGAUUCUUUCUCAGCUUUUUCACAAUUAUUGUUGCAGUUAAUUGUA